rnacentral:tRNA from 1 species
GGGUAGAGCUCAAGUGGUAGAGCACAUGCCUAGCACACCUGAGGUCCUGGGUUCAAUCCCCAGUACCUCCA